GGGGUUGUAGUCUAACCAGGCAGGAUCGCUGGCUCCAGACCAGCUAAUGGGGGUUCAAAUCCUCCCGACCCCA
rnacentral:tRNA from 1 species